CUACGGGACGCACCAGUGGGGAAUAUUGCACAAUGGAGGAAACUCUGAUGCAGCAACGCCGCGUGGAGGAUGACACUUUUCGGAGCGUAAACUCCUUUUAUAUAGGAAGAAGAUGACGGUACUAUAUGAAUAAGCGCCGGCUAACUCCGUGCGCAGCAGCCGCGGUAAUACGGAGGGCGCAAGCGUUACUCGGAAUCACUGGGCGUAAAGAGCGUGUAGGCGGAUUAAAAAGUCAGAGGUGAAAUCCUAUAGCUUAACUAUAGAACUGCUUCUGAAACUCUUAAUAUAGAAUAUGGGAGAGGUAGAUGGAAUUUCUGGUGUAGGGGUAAAAUCCGUAGAGAUCAGAAGGAAUACCGAUUGCGAAGGCGAUCUACUAGAACAUUAUUGACGCUGAGACGCGAAAGCGUGGGGAGCAAACAGGAUUAGAUACCCCGGUAGUC
rnacentral:rRNA from 1 species